ACAGCCCGGGGCGCCGGGGGCCUCGGCCGGGAGAGCUGUGCUGAGGGGUGAACACAACCAUCGGGGCUCUUUUACUCACCCCGUACACAACAGGCUAAAACCUGUGCAGCUCCCGUGUCCGGGCAAGCCUUGCUUCAGGCGUUUCUGGCUACUGAUAAACCAAGAGUGAGGGGAGGGAAAUAUAUAAGGAGCUUCUGAUACGCUGAAAUCCUCAUUUGGAAUCAAAUGUGUAACGACAAGGGAGAGAGCUGAGCUUUGUCUCCAUUUUACAUAAUUCUGCAGAAUUUAUCUGUUGGCUUCUAGGUUGCUGCAGUAAAGGCAAGAGAUUCUCCCAAGGGGUAUUUGAAAUGAAGAAGACAUCUGGAAGUUGAAGAUUCAUCCGCCAGUUUUCCAGUACGGACAGAGGCUGCAGCUCUGUGACCCUCUUUGCCAGAUUUGUGCACUGCAGGAUCAGUUGACUUUACACAAAAAGCCAGCAGGCUUACAGCUGCACCAGGCUGCCUCUUUUGAUGCAUUUAGGUAAUUACAGUAUGAUCCUUUUAAUAGCAUUUUCCUGACUUGUCACCUGAAGUCCCAUGCUGCCCUGAGUCCCAGCCCCUACCCCUUCCCUUUGGGGCCCAUCUUUGUGACACCCAGGGGCUGUUAUUAAUGACCUCUAUGGGAUGAAUUUCUUUUUUUCGUGCUUAGUCACUGACAUCUGUUUCCCUGGCACAAUACAGCACGUGAUGGUGCUGACAUCAUAGCUUUAUAUGACUGCCCCCACAGUCACUCCUCAAACUGCAACAGCAUGCAGAGUUCCAAAAAUGGGAAAGUUAUUUCUGCUGCAUGCAGUGAUGAGAAAGGCUACCAUGUAGCUAAAGGUUUGGUAAGGGCACUGUCAGCAUCACUCACAUCUUUCUUGGGUUUCAAAGAUGCACAUUUCUGUCCUGGGCAGAGGCAGUGUCUGUGAGAAAAGCCAGGAUGAUGCACAGAUGGGAAAAUCUGCAAUACAGGGAGAACUUUGAGCAAGGAAAGACAAUGCUGGUGAUUAUUCCUGUGGAUCAUAACCUUUGCCUGCUGAGGAAGAUAAAUGUUAGAUGGCACAUCUGAAUGUAAGAGUGCUAAUUUCAUAGAGAGUUACAGUGCUUUAACAGGUGCCAUGGGAACAGCCUGUUCUGUUCUGUCAACACCAGGACUCUCCUGUCUGCAGAGUGAAUGUGUACACAAAGCUAAACCAGCAAAAGGUAGUGCUGGAAAAGGCAGUAAGCAGACUUCUAAAAUUUUACCUCCAUGAAAACCAGCUUGUAGUGAGAGAAAAAUAAAACUGAAAAUAACUUCAGUUUCAACAAAACUGAAUAGAGAAGGGAGGAAGGGGCAGGAGUGCCCCUUUAAGGAAGAGCUGCCCAAUUUAGCAGUGCAAAGCUGCAGUUUAAAAAGCCUUGUCCUUGUAACUGCCAAGCAGAAUUCUCCCUGCAUCAGAACACUGGAUGAAAAGCAUCAAAACUCAGGAGAAGAUUCAGAAGACAACAAUCCCUCUUUAGGACAUUCCUGCGUUACCUAAGUCUGUUGCCAGCAAAAAGGUGACAUACUCUUCUACUCUCAUGGAUUUCUCACGUGAGGGUCAUGAGCAAGCACCUCUGUUUCCUACCCAGUUUCUCCAAGUUUUCUGUAAACAGGCAGUGCUGUUCCUCCCUCUGCCUUGAGGUUGUCUGAAGACCACGUAGGCCUUGUUAAUAUUAUUGCUGCUGGCUAGCCCAGUAGUGUCCAUGUGCCUACAUUCCUGCAGUUCUGGUUGUUGAAAGCCACUCAAACAGGCUAAAAUUCUUGUAGUUUAUUAAUCAAGGGAAUUAAGUAGAUAUAGUUACUAUUUGGAAGUGAGAAAGUCAUGAGGCAGCAGAAGAUUAAAUGAAAGUUGAAACAAAUUCUCAGCCAGAUACGAUUAAUGUCUGCUUGUGGAAAACUGUUGAUAAGGAAAAACUCUUUGCUGUCUCUUCCAAAUUUAAAAAAUUAGUAAUUAAAAAAGUAAUCAAAUGAAACUAAUGAAGUUCAGGUCAAAAUGUGCAAAAAGAUGUAUUUCUUCACCAACUGUUAGUAACCUGUGGCAUAACUUGCUGCAGGAUGCUCUGGAUACAGGAAGUUUAUAUGGCCUCACCCUACAGGCAGUUUUAAACCAGGGAGGAAGAGGAAACAGGGAAAAAAGGAACAAGAGAGAAAAAAAGAGACUCCAGUUCAGAGACUGCCUAGCAUUGCUGAAGACCUUCUACAAAACCUGCUGUCCCACAGAUCCACAGUGAAGCUGCUGUAUAAGCCAUGUAGCCAGAGACUCAGCACUUUGCCCAGUUCUGCCAGACUUCUGGAAUGAAUGCUACUGGAAGUCAGAGAACCAAGUGUACCAAGUGCUCUGGAAAGGAGAUAUGAUCAAAUGAAGUGCAAUUGAAAAAAUCCAGAAAAUUUGCAAAUGCCACGACUACAACCAAAUGUACUGAGAUGAAAAGAGAUGCAGUGGAAAGGACCAAAAGUUGCUUAAAUUGUUCCCACUGAAAUCCCAAAAGCAGGCCAGAAAGGUAAAUAAAGAGACAGGAGAAGAAAUGGAAGAAAUUAAAUGCUUAAAAAAAAAAAGGAGAAAAAUCUGAAAUUAAGAAAAACAGUAAAAGUGAAUGGGAUGACCUGAAGUGCAGGGAAAGGCACCAAAGCUUGCCCAACUGAUCCUCAUUAAAAUGACAAGAUUUCAUCCCUUUCAGAAAGCAACUGGAAUAUAUAUACACAUAAAUAUGACAUUAUGCUUCCUUCAACCUUCUGAUGGAUGUUGCUGGAAAGCAAACUGUAUUGUCAGUACCUGUUUAACCAUCCAGGAAUUAUGCAUAACUUGCAUUGUAUUUGUAUGUCACUUUAGUUACUUGGAAAAGAUGUGUAUAUAUAUAAGCACUAUAACUCUUUGCAUGUUCUCA